CAAAACCCAGAACAGCUCCGUCUUCUUUGGCACAAUUACUUCAACAACUCACAACUACAAAACCUGGCCACCGCUCCCUUGAGUUUCUGGCAUCUGGGAUGCCUUAACUAGCGGUAACAAUGCUUGCGAAGCCAUUGCCGCAAUUCGACGUGGAAUGGUACUCUUUAGGCGGGUAAAAUCUGCUCCUUGUUCAUUCAAUACUGGUUUCUAAAUUUCUCUGCAGAUUUGACAUGUUCUUAUAGUUUGGCAUUAAAAGUUUCCAACUUUGUUAUUUGUUAAGGGUGAUGUUUCAGGGUGUGUAGCAGAAUUUGAUAAGGCAAUUGAGUUGGAUCCUCGCCAACAGGCAUGUAAAUCUAGUUGUAGUUCUUGAUAAAUGAUUUUUUUUUUUUUUUUUUUGGGGGUUGUUUUUGGGAUAUGAAUUGCUGAAUUAAGUAAGUUACAUAGUGUUCGCAAUGGUUGUUAUCAGAUCUUUGGCAAAGGGGGCUAUCACUUUACCAUCUUGAUAGGUACUAGUUCUUUGAUGGUUCUUGUUAAGGUGCAUGUCAACUAAGCUGGGUGUCUUUAUGCAGAGGUUUGGAGAAGGGGCAGAGCAGUCGAUUUGGUCCAACUUAAGAUGCUAGAGUUAACAUGCUCUUUUUAUAAAAUGGAAAACUGUUGGUCCAUUCACUAUAGAUGUUGUGACAGUUUGGAUUAUUAUUGAAGCUGCAAAUGAACUUAGAGACAGGGUUAAUGCUUAAAUUUGAUUGUUAUUAUUGCACAUGAAGUAUUUUUGUCUACAACUUCAGUGAAUGGCUGUUACAUGGAGAUCAUUAAACAUUGAGAAAGAUCUAGGUAGAAGCAUGCCAAUCUUUUUUCUUUGCCUUUUUUGUAUUACAGAGUACAUUUCAUAAUAGUGGUCUGAACCUGGGACAUUCAGAGAAAUUCCGAAUCCUAACCAAUCUUAUUUUAGAUAAUUAUUUAAACUGAGGAAAUGGCAAGCUCAAUGGUCCAUGCCUCACAAUCUAAAAGACCAUAUGGUGGCUCUACCCUCUCAG
rnacentral:lncRNA from 1 species